GCUGGUCACUGGGAAUUUCUUCAGGUUUUCACGAAGCCCUCUAACAAUAGGUCUGAAUAAGACAAUUUAAUAAUUGCUCCUUCACUACAGAUAAUGUUUCUCAACCCACACCCUAUGUGGCCCAUGGCUAUGGAACUCCCACUUAAAAGAGACUUAAAACUGUGACUUCUUUUCAUAUUGGAACUUUGGUGUGUAUAGGUCAAGUCUGCAAAACAACAUCAACUUUCUCAUUAGCUCUGUUAAAAAUAUUUAGGUGUUUGAUUGCAUGGUGGUUUGCCAAAGUAGACCUUCAGUGAUGUUUAAGGGAAAUUGUGGAAAUCCUAAAGACCCUGGAUUGUGGAGACUCCUGAGAAUGAAGCAAGUCUGGGAAAUAUUUAAGGCCACCUGGGAUACAGUUGAUCACUCACUGGUCUUUAAAACUUUAUGA
rnacentral:lncRNA from 1 species